GACGAACGCUGGCGGCGUGCCUAAUACAUGCAAGUCGAACGCAGUGGGGACGGGUGAGUAACACGUGGGUAACCUCCCAUCAGAGGGGAUAACACUUGGAAACAGGUGCUAAAACGAUACUGGCGGAUGGACCCGCGGUGCAUUAGGUAGUUGGUGGGGUAACGGCCUACCAAGGCCACGAUGCUUAGGCGACCUGGGAGGGGGAUCGGCCACACUGGUACUAGGAAACGGCCCAGACUCCUACGGGAGGCAGCAGUAGGGAAUCUUCGACAAUGGGCGAAAGUCUGACCGAGCAACGCCGCGUGAGUGAAGAAGGUUUUCGGUUCGAAAAACUCUGUUAUUGGAGAAGCGGUAUCUAACCAGAAAGCCACGGCUAACUACGUGCCAGCAGCCGCGGUAAUAC
rnacentral:rRNA from 1 species